rnacentral:rRNA from 1 species
UACGUAGGAUGCGAGCGUUAUCCGGAUUUAUUGGGUUUAAAGGGUGCGUAGGCGGUCCGUUAAGUCAGCGGUAAAAUUGCGGGGCUCAACCCCGUCGAGCCGUUGAAACUGUCAGACUUGAGUUGGCGAGAAGUACGCGGAAUGCGCGGUGUAGCGGUGAAAUGCAUAGAUAUCGCGCAGAACUCCGAUUGCGAAGGCAGCGUACCGGCGCCACACUGACGCUGAGGCACGAAAGCGUGGGGAUCGAACAGG